GAUGAACGCUGGCGGCGUGCCUAAUACAUGCAAGUCGAGCGAACAGACGAGAGUGCUUGCACUCUCUGACGUUAGCGGCGGACGGGUGAGUAACACGUGGGUAACCUACCUAUAAGACUGGGAUAACUUCGGGAAACCGGAGCUAAUACCGGAUAAUAUUUAGCUUCGCAUGAAGCAAUAGUGAAAGACGGUUCUGCUGUCACUUAUAGAUGGACCCGCGGUGUAUUAGCUAGUUGGUGAGGUAACGGCUCACCAAGGCAACGAUACAUAGCCGACCUGAGAGGGUGAUCGGCCACACUGGGACUGAGACACGGCCCAGACUCCUACGGGAGGCAGCAGUAGGGAAUCUUCCGCAAUGGACGAAAGUCUGACGGAGCAAUGCCGCGUGAGUGAAGAAGGUUUUCGGAUCGUAAAACUCUGUUGUAAGGGAAGAACAAGUACGUUAGUAACCGAACGUACCUUGACGGUACCUUACCAGAAAGCCACGGCUAACUACGUG
rnacentral:rRNA from 1 species